rnacentral:rRNA from 1 species
GAUGAACGCUGGCGGCGUGCCUAAUACAUGCAAGUCGAGCGAACGGACGAGAAGCUUGCUUCUCUGAUGUUAGCGGCGGACGGGUGAGUAACACGUGGAUAACCUACCUAUAAGACUGGGAUAACUUCGGGAAACCGGAGCUAAUACCGGAUAAUAUUUUGAACCGCAUGGUUCAAAAGUGAAAGACGGUCUUGCUGUCACUUAUAGAUGGAUCCGCGCUGCAUUAGCUAGUUGGUAAGGUAACGGCUUACCAAGGCAACGAUGCAUAGCCGACCUGAGAGGGUGAUCGGCCACACUGGAACUGAGACACGGUCCAGACUCCUACGGGAGGCAGCAGUAGGGAAUCUUCCGCAGUGGGCGAAAGCCUGACGGAGCAACGCCGCGUGAGUGAUGAAGGUCUUCGGAUCAUAAAACUCUGUUAUUAGGGAAGAACAUAUGUGUAAGUAACUGUGCACAUCUUGACGGUACCUAAUCAGAAAGCCACGGCUAACUACGUG